GGUUCCUUAGCUCAGUUGGUUAGAGCGUGGUGCUAAUACGACGUCUAAACCGUCCAAAAACGCCAAGGUCGAGUGCGUCUUCUCCUCCCAAUUGUUCCCGCGAACGUUGUGCUAAUAGUGUUACAGGGGUUCGACCCCCUUAGGGACCA
rnacentral:tRNA from 1 species